rnacentral:rRNA from 1 species
GUCUAUGGCCAUGCCACCCUGAACAAGCCCGAUCCCAUUUGAUCUCGGAAGCUAAGCAGGGUCGGGUCUGGUUAGUACUUAGAUGGGAGACCACCUAGGAAGACUAGGUGCUGUAGACA